rnacentral:rRNA from 1 species
AGCGCAGACGGCGAAGCAAGUCUGAAGUGAAAUGCAUGGGCUCAACCCAUGAAUUGCUUUGGAAACUGUUUAGCUUGAGUGUCGGAGGGGUAAGCGGAAUUCCUAGUGUAGCGGUGAAAUGCGUAGAUAUUAGGAGGAACACCGGAGGCGAAGGCGGCUUACUGGACGACAACUGACGUUGAGGCUCGAAGGCGUGGGGAGCAAACA